AAAACAAAGGUGUCUUUGCCAAUAUUAUGUUUUGCUUUGACAAGGCAUGAGAUGUCUGAGGGAAUCCACUAUGAAUGGGAUCAGGCCAUUCAUUUAUGUUGUGCACAAAUAUAAUUUUAAGAUACGACCUC
rfam:Loxodonta africana cont3.9854, whole genome shotgun sequence.